rnacentral:rRNA from 1 species
UACGAAGGGGGCUAGCGUUGCUCGGAAUUACUGGGCGUAAAGCGCACGUAGGCGGAUUGUUAAGUCGGGGGUGAAAUCCUGGAGCUCAACUCCAGAACUGCCUUCGAUACUGGCGAUCUAGAGUCCGGGAGAGGUGAGUGGAACUGCGAGUGUAGAGGUGAAAUUCGUAGAUAUUCGCAAGAACACCAGUGGCGAAGGCGGCUCACUGGCCCGGUACUGACGCUGAGGUGCGAAAGCGUGGGGAGCAAACAGGAGUUAGAUAUCC